AUGGUUUGUUAUUUUUUUUGUCAUUCAAGUUUAUUUAUUGCAUAUUUUCACAGUAUAAAUAAAAUGUGGAAUGACACACAAGCUGCACUUUGGUCCGCUCAUUCCUACGACAACCGUGACAGAAUCUCCCACCACCAAUGGACCAAGCAGCGUGCCCAGGAGAGACAGGAAUGGACCUGGGAGGAGAUACUGGACGGGAAAGGACCCUGGAGUCAGGCUGGGGAUUAUCACCUUCCUAAGGAGGAGAUUGAGGCAGCGAAAGCGGAGCGGCGAUAUUAUGAGGCAAGUGCGAGAGGCAGCCUCCCCCCAAAAAUUGGGGGGCACACGGGGAGAUUGGCAGAGUCAGGGUGGAGACCUGAGCCAACUUCCGUGCUUACCGUGGAGAGCCGAGUGGUGAACCAGAGCCAGUCAGGGAGUCGAGUGAGGAGCUCGAACGCAAGAUUCCGGAGCGAGGAGCUGACGUGGAGAGCGCUGAGGAGCGGGCGUGCUGAGGAGCGUGACAUCAGUCCGGUGCGUCCUGUGCUACCUCCCCGCACUCGCCCUGAGGUGCGCGUCAUCAAUCCGGUUCCACCUGUACCAGUCCCACGCAUCAGGCCUCCAGUGCGCCUCCACAGCCCAGAACGUCCUGUGCCUCCUCCUCGCACUCGCCCUGAGGUGCGUGUUACCAGUCUGACGCCACCUGUGCCAGCCCCACGCAUCAGGCCUCCAGUGCGCAUUCCCAGCCCGGAGCUUCAGGCGACAGUUCCCAGCCCGGAGCUUCCGGCGACAGUUCCCAGCCCGGAGCUUCCGGCGACCGUUGCCAGCCCGGAGCUUCCGGCGACCGUUGCCAGCCCGGAGCUUCCGGCGACCGUUGCCAGCCCGGAGCCUCCGGCGGCGGCCUCCAGCCCGGAACCUCCGGCGGCGGCCUCCAGCCCGGAACCUCCAGCGGCGGCCUGCAGCCCAGAACCUCCGGCGAUGAUCCAUGGUCCGGCGGCACAGAAGCAGAGGGAUCAGCAGGCGGAGCGGGGGUUACGCCCUGAACCUCCUCUGUUGGAGGAUCCGCGGGAUAAGAAGGUUAUGUGUACUGCACCAGAGCCGCCAUAG
rnacentral:lncRNA from 8 species